rnacentral:rRNA from 1 species
GACGAACGCUGGCGGCGUGCUUAACACAUGCAAGUCGAACGGAAAGGCCCUGCGUUUGUGGGGUGCUCGAGUGGCGAACGGGUGAGUAACACGUGAGUAACCUGCCCUUGACUUUGGGAUAACUUCAGGAAAGUGGGGCUAAUACCGUAUAGGAGCUCCUGUUGCAUGGUGGGGGUUGGAAAGUUUCGGCGGGUGGGGAUGGACGCGCGGCUUAUCAGCUAGUUGGUGGGGGAGGGGCUUACCAAGGCUUUGACGGGUAGCCGGCCUGAGAGGGUGACCGGCCACAUUGGUCCUGCGAGACGGCCCAGACUCCUACGGGAGGCAGCGGUGGGGAAUAUUGCACAAUGGGCGGAAGCCUGAUGAAGCAACGCCGCGUUCGGGAUGACGGCCUUCGGGUUGUAAACCGCUUUCGCCUGUGACGAAGCGUGAGUGACGGUAAUGGGUAAAGAAGCACCGGCUAACUACGUG